CGUUCAGAAUGCAUCACCAGAAGACCUUUCCUAGUCUGAUGAGUCUGGCUUCCAGCUGUCAGGUUGAUAGUGCAGUACUGCGUCGAGCCACCAGGGGGAGGUGUUUCCUAAUCCUCACGCCUGCUGCAUCCUGUCUGAGGCUUGGAUGAUGAAACGAGUUAGGAAGCAGAUUUAAAUUCACCGACUAACCGUGAAAGUUUCAUAAAGAGUUUUAGUUUGAAUUCAUCUGAACGGCAGAAGAACACCUGCAGCUGGCCAACAGCGUCCUGCGGCCCGCAGGUCCAAUGUCCCAGCAGCUCUGCAGCUUGCCGUCCUUCAGGUGUCCAGCCGAAGCAACCUCUGGCUCACUCACACAGCAGCAACAACCCCGGUUUAGCACGGGUCGGAUCCUAGAUCAGGCUCUGAUGACGGUUAACCUCCAACUUCAGCUCUGAGUCAGGAAGAAGGAAGAUGAGGCGGAUGCAGCAGACUGAGAUCAUCACAGCUCCUGAUGAUGAUGAUGCAGCUUCAUAUCUGAGCUCCUCCGGUCGGAUCCCAAAGCAUUCCCAGAUCAGCCUCCAGCUUGUCCUGGAUUAGCUCGGUUGUCUCCUUCUGGGGUGGUUUUCCUGAAACGUGUCCCCUGGGAGGAAUCCAGGAGACCUCAUCCUACAUGAGGAGGAGCUCCUCGAGUUCCCAGCCUCUGCUGAGGAGUUUCGUUCUCCUGGUUCAUCAUCGAGUCUUCCGGCCUUCACCCGGAGUUCCUGAGCACAGGUGAGGCUCGUCGAUCAUCUGCUUCACAACAUUGUGUGUGUGUGCGUGUUUG